rfam:Parcubacteria bacterium GW2011_GWC1_36_108 TR95_C0004, whole genome shotgun sequence.
AAAACGGCUUUUUUCAAAGCCGCUCUAGUAUACAGGAAACUGAUU